CACGUUAAAACACCAGUUCCCGUAAGAUCAACGAUGUUAAACAACGUCGAGUCUGGUCAGUAUGUUGAUGGGUGACCGCUUUGGAGUACCAGGUACUGUAAG